UACGAAGGGGGCUAGCGUUGUUCGGAAUUACUGGGCGUAAAGGGCGCGUAGGCGGCUCUGAUCGUCGGAUGUGAAAGGCCUGGGCUCAACCUGGGAACGGCAUCCGAUACGGCAGGGCUUGAGUGUGGGAGAGGUUGGUGGAAUUCCCAGUGUAGAGGUGAAAUUCGUAGAAAUCAGGAGGAACACCGGUGGCGAAGGCGGAUCUCUGGGCCAUUACUGACGCUGAGGAGCGAAAGCGUGGGGAGCGAACAGG
rnacentral:rRNA from 1 species